AAGCUACACUCUGUGGCAGAAGUCUGCAAAGACGAUGAUCUGUCUCAAUUUGAGCUUUGCUACAGAAACGUCCCGCCUCGUGUCUCCGGGGCGUCCAUCUGGACGUCCCGCCGGGGACAAGGCGGGGACAUC
ensembl:snoRNA